rnacentral:rRNA from 1 species
UGCAUGGUUGUCGUCAGCUCGUGCCGUGAGGUGUCGGGUUAAGUCCCAUAACGAGCGCAACCCUUAUCGUUAGUUGCCAGCUGGUAAAGCAGGGGACUCUAGCGAAACUGCCACCGUAAGGUGAGAGGAAGGUGGGGAUGACGUCAAAUCAGCACGGCCCUUAUGUCCAGGGCUACACACGUGUUACAAUGGCCGGCACAGAGGGCAGCUACCUGGUGACAGGGAUGCUAAUCUCGAAAACCGGUCUCAGUUCGGAUCGAAGUCUGCAACUCGACUUCGUGAAGCUGGAUUCGCUAGUAAUCGCGCAUCAGCCAUGGCGCGGUGAAUACGUUCCCGGGCCUU